GACGAACGCUGGCGGCGUGCUUAACACAUGCAAGUCGAACGGAAAGGCCCUGCUUUUGUGGGGUGCUCGAGUGGCGAACGGGUGAGUAACACGUGAGUAACCUGCCCUUGACUUUGGGAUAACUUCAGGAAACUGGGGCUAAUACCGGAUAGGAGCCCCUGCUGCAUGGUGGGGGUUGGAAAGUUUCGGCGGUUGGGGAUGGACUCGCGGCUUAUCAGCUUGUUGGUGGGGUAGUGGCUUACCAAGGCUUUGACGGGUAGCCGGCCUGAGAGGGUGACCGGCCACAUUGGGCCUGCGAUACGGCCCAGACUCCUACGGGAGGCAGCGGUGGGGAAUAUUGCACAAUGGGCGGAAGCCUGAUGCAGCAACGCCGCGUGCGGGAUGACGGCCUUCGGGUUGUAAACCGCUUUCGCCUGUGACGAAGCGUGAGUGACGGUAAUGGGUAAAGAAGCACCGGCUAACUACGUG
rnacentral:rRNA from 1 species